GUCCCCAUCGUUUAGGGGUCUAGGACACCGGGUUUUCAUCCCGGCAACAGGGGUUCAAAUCCCCUUGGGGAUG
rnacentral:tRNA from 1 species